rnacentral:rRNA from 1 species
AUAUCAAUAAGCGGAGGAAAAGAAACCAACAGGGAUUGCCUCAGUAACGGCGAGUGAAGCGGGAAAAGCUCAACUUAAAAAUCUGGGUGUCCUAGACACUCCGAAUUGUAGUCUGUAGAAGCUGUAACCAGUCACUGUCUGGGGAUAAGUCCCUUGGAAAAGGGCGUCAUAGAGGGUGAUAACCCCGUCUUUGCUCCGGAUUUGUGACGUACGGUUCGCUUUCAAAGAGUCGAGUUGCUUGGGAGUGCAGCUCUAAGUGGGUGGUAAAUUCCAUCUAAAGCUAAAUAUUGGCGAGAGACCGAUAGCGCACAAGUA